rnacentral:rRNA from 1 species
AAUUCGAUGCAACGCGAAGAACCUUACCUGGUCUUGACAUCCACGGAAGUUUUCAGAGAUGAGAAUGUGCCUUCGGGAGCCGUGAGACAGGUGCUGCAUGGCUGUCGUCAGCUCGUGUUGUGAAAUGUUGGGUUAAGUCCCGCAACGAGCGCAACCCUUAUCCUUUGUUGCCAGCGGUCCGGCCGGGAACUCAAAGGAGACUGCCAGUGAUAAACUGGAGGAAGGUGGGGAUGACGUCAAGUCAUCAUGGCCCUUACGACCAGGGCUACACACGUGCUACAAUGGCGCAUACAAAGAGAAGCGACCUCGCGAGAGCAAGCGGACCUCAUAAAGUGCGUCGUAGUCCGGAUUGGAGUCUGCAACUCGACUCCAUGAAGUCGGAAUCGCUAGUAAUCGUGGAUCAGAAUGCCACGGUGAAUACGUUCCCGGGCCUUGUACACACCGCCCGUCACACCAUGGGAGUGGGUUGCAAAAGAAGUAGGUAGCUUAACCUU